rnacentral:misc_RNA from 1 species
UACGGAGGGACCAAGCGUUGUUCGGAAUCAUUGGGCGUAAAGCGGGUGUAGGCGGCUUUGCAAGUCAAGUGUGAAAUCCCAGGGCCCAACCCUGGAACUGCACUCGAUACUGCAUCGCUCGAGUCCCGGAGAGGAUGGCGGAAUUCCAGGUGUAGAGGUGAAAUUCGUAGAUAUCUGGAGGAACACCAGUGGCGAAGGCGGCCAUCUGGACGGUGACUGACGCUCAGACCCGAAAGCGUGGGGAGCAAACAGG